ACCUAAUAGAUACCCGGGUAGUCCACGCCCUAAACGAUGCGAACUGGAUGUUGGGUACAUUACGGUACUCAGUGUCGAAAGCUAAACGCGUUAAGUUCGCCGCCUGGGGAGUACGGUCGCAAGACUGAAACUCAAAGGAAUUGACGGGGGCCCGGCACAAGCGGUGGAGUAUGUGGUUUAAUUACGAUGCAACGCGAAGAACCUUACCUGGCCUUGACAUCUGUCGAAUCCUGCAGAGAUGCGGGAGUGCCGCAAGGAACGACAAGACAGGUGCUGCGUGGCUGUCGUCAGCUCGUGUCGUGAGAUGUUGGGUUAAAGUCCCGCAACGAGCGCAACCCUUGUCCCUAGUUGCCAGCACAUCAUGG
rnacentral:rRNA from 1 species